rnacentral:rRNA from 1 species
UACGUAGGGUGCGAGCGUUAAUCGGAAUUACUGGGCGUAAAGCGUGCGCAGGCGGUUUUGUAAGCCAGAUGUGAAAUCCCCGGGCUUAACCUGGGAAUGGCAUUUGGGACUGCAAGGCUGGAGUGCGGCAGAGGAGACUGGAAUCCCUGGUGUAGCAGUGAAAUGCGUAGAUAUCAGGAGGAACACCGGUGGCGAAGGCGGUUCUCUGGGCCUGUUCUGACGCUGAGGAGCGAAAGCGUGGGGAGCGAACAGG